rnacentral:rRNA from 1 species
UACGUAGGAGGCGAGCGUUGUCCGGAUUUAUUGGGCGUAAAGAGCGCGUAGGUGGCUUGGUAAGUUGGGUGUGAAAUCCUCUGGCUUAACUGGGGGAGGUCAUCCGAUACUGCCAGGCUUGAGGUCGGCAGAGGAAGGUAGAAUUCCCGGUGUAGUGGUGAAAUGCGUAGAUAUCGGGAGGAAUACCAGUGGCGAAGGCGGCCUUCUGGGCCGAUCCUGACGCUGAGGCGCGAAAGCGUGGGGAG